rnacentral:rRNA from 1 species
GAUGAACGCUGGCGGCGUGCCUAAUACAUGCAAGUCGAGCGGACAGACGCGGCUCUUGCUCCUCUGACGUUAGCGGCGGACGGGUGAGUAACACGUGGAUAACCUUCCUCUACGACUUGGAUCACUUCGGGAAACCGGAGCUCCUGCCGGAUAAUAUAUUGAACCGCAUGGUUCAAUAGUGAUUGCCGGGUUUGCUGUCCCUUCUAGCUGUCUCCUCGCUGCAUUAGUUAGUUGGUAAGGUAACGGCUUCCCAAGGCCACGAUGCGUAGCCGACCUGAGAGGGGGAACGGGCACACUGGAACUGAGACACGGUCCAGAGUCCGAGGGGAGGCAGCAGUAGGGAAGCGUCCGCGAUGGGCGAAAGCCUGACGGAGCAACGCCGCGUGGGUGAUGAAGGGCUGCGGAGCGGAAAACGCUGUUAGUAGGGAAGAACAAAUGUGUAAGUAACGAUGCACGUCGUGACGGUACCUAAACAGAAAGCCACGGCUAACUACGUG